AGCAGCCGCGGUAAUUCCAGCUCCAAUAGCGUAUAUUAAAGUUGUUGCAGUUAAAAAGCUCGUAGUUGAAUUUCGGGGUUAGUAGAUUGGUCAUGCCUCUGGUACGCACUGGUCUUACUGAUUCCUCCUUCCUGAUGAACCGUAAUGCCAUUAAUUUGGUGUUGCGGGGAAACUGGACUGUUACUUUGAAAAAUUAGAGUGUUUAAAGCAGGCUAACGCUUGAAUACAUUAGCAUGGAAUAAUGAAAUAGGACGUUCGAUCUUAUUUUGUUGGUUUCUAGGAUUGACAUAAUGAUUAAUAGGGAUAGUUGGGGCAUUAGUAUUCAAUUGUCAGAGGUGAAAUUCUUGGAUUUAUUGAAGACUAACUACUGCGAAAGCAUUUGCCAAGGAUGUUUUCAUUAAUCAAGAACGAAAGUUAGGGGAUCGAAGACGAUC
rnacentral:rRNA from 1 species